GGAUCAGAAUGCUGCGGUGAAUACGUUCCCGGGUCUUGUACACACCGCCCGUCACACCAUGGGAGUCGGAAAUGCCCGAAGCCGGUGACCAAACCAAUAAGGAAGGAGCCGUCGAAGGCAGGUCUGAUAACUGGGGUGAAGUCGUAACAAGGUAGC
rnacentral:rRNA from 1 species